CAAGUCGAACGAACCUUCGGGUUAGUGGCGGACGGGUGAGUAACGCGUGAGAAUCUGCCCUCAGGAGGGGGAUAACGGCUGGAAACGGCCGCUAAUACCCCAUAUGCCGCGAGGUGAAAUGAAUUUCGCCUGAGGAUGAGCUCGCGUCUGAUUAGCUAGUUGGUGGGGUAAGAGCCUACCAAGGCAUCGAUCAGUAGCUGGUCCGAGAGGAUGAUCAGCCACACUGGGACUGAGACACGGCCCAGACUCCUACGGGAGGCAGCAGUGGGGAAUUUUCCGCAAUGGGCGCAAGCCUGACGGAGCAACGCCGCGUGAGGGAUGAAGGCCUCUGGGCUGUAAACCUCUUUUAUCAAGGAAGAAGAUCUGACGGUACUUGAUGAAUAAGCCACGGCUAAUUCCGUGCCAGCAGCCGCGGUAAUACGGGAGUGGCAAGCGUUAUCCGGAAUUAUUGGGCGUAAAGCGUCCGCAGGCGGUCUUGUAAGUCUGUCGUUAAAGCGUGGAGCUUAACUCCAUUUGAGCGAUGGAAACUGUAAGACUAGAGUGUGGUAGGGGCAGAGGGAAUUCCCGGUGUAGCGGUGAAAUGUGUAGAUAUCGGGAAGAACACCAGUGGCGAAGGCGCUCUGCUGGGCCAUAACUGACGCUCAUGGACGAAAGCCAGGGGAGCGAAAGGGAUUAGAUACCCCUGUAGUCCUGGCCGUAAACGAUGAACACUAGGUGUCGGGGGAAUCGACCCCCUCGGUGUCGUAGCCAACGCGUUAAGUGUUCCGCCUGGGGAGUACGCACGCAAGUGUGAAACUCAAAGGAAUUGACGG
rnacentral:rRNA from 1 species